rnacentral:rRNA from 1 species
CCGCCCGUCACACCACGAAAGCCUGCUGUACCCAAAGCUGGUAAGCUAACCCUGCAAGGGGAUGCAGCCAUCUAAGGUAUGGCCGGUGAUUGGGGUG